ensembl:lncRNA
AAACAAAAAACUCAUCACUGACACAGCCCAUCUUUUUUUUUAAUUGAUCACAUGUAUUUAUGUGUGUCGUCAGUCCCUGUGACGUGUUGUUCACACAGGGUUUUAGAAUACUCUCGGCCUCACUCCAUUGGCUCUGGCAGCACCACCUCCACCACUCUCAGCCAAUCAUCUUCCUCUUCUGGCCGUGGUUCACUGCCCCCUGCUGGUUACCCUUGCAACCAGUCACAGGGGGCAGACAAAAAUCUGGCCAUAUGUUCCUCGUCUCCUGAGGCUGUGACAGACAAUGAACUCAACAACCAUCAUCUUCAUCAGCAUCAUCUUCAUCGUAAUUGUGAGCCGUGGAAAACUCAGCAUCCUCUAAUGAGCAGCACAGAGUCAUCUGGUCAAUGCAUGACUGUCUUCAGCGGUUCAGAACGUAGCUGCCUGUCUGGCAUCAGUGGAGAGGUAGUGGAUGACUCUUCAGAUGUGUCUCAGAAUUCAUUGCCCCAUCCACCAAUUUGUCGGACCCCUAGCCUGAUGACAAACAGCUCACCGGCAGUCACUAGAAAAAAGCCAGGCAUCGCCCCCAGACCUCCACACCUGGGUAAUGUUCAGCUGCAGGUGAAGAAGGAUGAUGAGAUUAUAAUUGGAAAGUCAACAGAAGUUUAAUCCCUGCAGAAGGUAAGCACAUGCUGCACAGACCUGCUCUGACUGAUCACCCUGCAGACAAACAAAUGAUCAAUUAUCUCAUUGAAUGAUACAUUCACAGGACAUGUUCUUUAAAUAUUUGAACCAUUUUGGAUUUGGUGAACAUAUUAUAUAAAAUCCUUUAAUGUCAUAAAGACAUUGAUCAUGGAAAAAGACUCACCUAUAAGAAAAACAGACUGUGGAUGCUGACAUCAUUUACAUCCCCAGUGCAACCACAAGUAGUUAGAGCCGUAACACUUUAAGAACUUUUUAUUUGUUUGUCCUCUGAGACUGAGCUCAGAAUAAGAGUGGGUAUUUUUUAUCUGCUGCUACACAAUCAUUACUAAAACUGAUGAACCAUAGGUGGAUGUUGCCAUGAGUAGCAUCUGUGUCAUUCUGCAAUAACAGAGUAAUGUGUGGUUGAGGGAUACAUUUAUCCAUAUGCCCUGUGCAUCCUGUGCAGUUGUUGGUAAGGAUAUCAAUUAACACGUUUAAAACUUUUACCUGUAUGGGUACACUUACAAUAGAACUACAAUGAUCUACAUGAAGGGAUGGCCACUAGCUUUUAGGUGUGUUUUCAUAUUUACUGCAUUUAAUGAGACGAGAUGUUGAAUAACUGAGUUGUACACACAGUCUGCAUGGACGUUAUAUAUCUACAAGCUGCCAGGCAAAAACCACGUAUUGUUAUUUAGGGUCCACUAAUGUUUGACCAGCUUUAAAAUGAAUAAAUCAAUAUUCAGGUUUUGUAAGUUUCAUCAUUUUAUGUUAUUGUAUGUGUAAAGUGUACAGUAUAUAAAUUAUGGCAGGACAAUCAGGCUAUAAACUUUGACUUGUUUUAAGCCACUAAGGUUUUGUGAUGUAUAUCUAUCAAUAAGAACACAUAUCUAUGUUUUUUUUAAUCUCUUUUUAUUGCUUACUUGCUAAAUUUAUUCUACUGUUUUGUUAUUUUUACUUUCAUUAUUUGAUUAUAGUAUUGACAGGCAGGGUUAGUGUGAUUGUUUUCUUGUUGUCGGGCUGCUUUCCUCUGAUUUUUGGACUGGCUUACUUCAGUCAUUUGAGGAUGUGGCAGCAAACAUUGAAGAUACUCUGUUUCCUUAUUGCACCAACAGACUAGUUCCCCAGUAAGAGAGCUGUAGACACUUAUUGUAAAAUCAAAGCGCCUGCAGCUCUGCAGUAUUUUUUGCGCUGCCGUCACACCAUCACUGCCACAGUAGAAGCUUUGGCUUUACAACACACGUGUCUGUUGUGUGCAGUUAAAGGUUUUGUUCGUUCUACAAACUAAAAGAAGUCACAGUUUUAUUUCUAAAACAUCCUCCUGUGACUUAAAGUGAAACUGAUCAUGCUGAGCUGACAAAUGUGGGUGAAGUGUUUCAUUUGAACGACUGUAGGAUGUGUACUGUUUAACAUGAUAAAUUAUGUCAUUCGUUCAUUUUGUUUGUUGAAUCUUGCAGUAAUAUAUUGCAUAAUUUAUGUUUUUAUAUUUACAGUGUAUAUGCAUUAGAUGUGUUGUAAUAUUUAAACGGAGAUUAUUCUGAAUCUGUGUUCUGAUUUUUGUUCACAACUCACAAUUCUAAACUUAGUUUAAAUUUUGGUUUCAUCAGUUCUGGCUGGGUUUUGAAAACCAAGUAACAUAAAAAUAUGACACAUUUUAAUUUAUAAUUAGCAUAACAAAAAAUGACCUAAGUUUGAACAGAAUUGUUUUGUUGUUUUUUUGUUGUUGGUUUUUUUUUUAGAAAUAUGGGUCAGGAUUUUUUUGGGGGA